UUCAUUUCCAGAUUACAGCAUCUGUGCUCGUGGUAAGUGUGAAUCUGAUAUUUUAAUAAAAAUGUGACUGUACACUACAAUACAAUACACAUGUACUGUGCGCUUCACAAGAAAUGAAUACAUGUUAACAAUGGGGCCUCCUGCAGCUGAUGUUGAGAAUAUGGAAUGGGGUAUUAUUGUAUAAUAGUAUGAAUGAGCUGCUCUUAAUAAGAAAUGACAUCUUCAUUUAAUACAUACUCACAUAGUGAGGUGUUCUGUAUCCUGUGGGAGGGGAUAUAAAGAAGGAGCCCUGGCUUUGGAUUUUGCCAAUAAUAGAAAUGUACAAAUAGAGAGACACUCCUUUGAAAUAUAUAGCUCUCUAAUACACUACUGAGGCCCCAUUCUUGUAUAAAGCAGCCACUGCAGUGACUUCAAAUGGACUGAACUCAAUAUAUCACUUUUAUCUUUCACAGUAAGGUACAGAUGCUACUAUGCUCAUCACUAUCACUACUAUUUCUACUACCGUCAUGGGUACCGCUGCGCUCGCUACUGGCGUACCUACCGCUGCAGGCGAUGCCAGCACUACUGAAAAGCAGCAGCGCCCAGGGAUCACAGUGCUGGAGUUUACCUGACAGCAGACCUGCAAGCAAAGCUUAAACACACCAGCAACCUUCUUUUGUAGCAUGGCUGUAUCCUUUCUGUUGUGGUCCCUCUACCCACACACAGCUACAGACCCAUACUUAUUUCUAUCAGGCCAUUCCCAGUUUGUUUAAAACAGCUGCUCCCUGUUGUGCAUUUGGUCAAUCUCUUCAAGGAUAUAUAAUAGAGAAAACAUUGUUUUUCUAUUGGGUGAUUCCCUGCCUCUCAUGAAGCAGCUCUUUACAUUGUAUGGAAAGGUGUCCUUAUUUAACAUGUAGUCUCAGAUUCUCAGUGAGAUCACAUGCUCACACAUGUUUGAAUAGAAACACAGCUGCACAUGGGCACAUAUACAAAGCGUUACUUGGAGAGCGUGCUUGAUUGAUUUGCCCCAGCUCAUAAUCACUGCACCGAGUCAGGUUUGACCAGUAGAC